GCGGGUGUAGCUCAAUUGGUAGAGCGUCAGCCUUCCAAGCUGAAUGUCGCCGGUUCGAACCCGGUCACCCGCU
rnacentral:tRNA from 1 species